rnacentral:rRNA from 1 species
AACGAACGCUGGCGGCAGGCCUAACACAUGCAAGUCGAACGCUCCGCAAGGGGAGUGGCGCACGGGUGAGUAACACGUGGGAGCCUACCUUCUGGUACGGAACAACCAAGGGAACUCUGGCUGAUACCGUAUACGACCUCCGGGUGAAAGAUUGAUCGCCGGAAGAGGGGCCCGCGUCCGAUUAGGUAGUUGGUGAGGUAACGGCUCACCAAGCCUGCGAUCGGUAGCUGGUCUGAGAGGAUGACCAGCCACACUGGGACUGAGACACGGCCCAGACUCCUACGGGAGGCAGCAGUGGGGAAUAUUGGACAAUGGGCGCAAGCCUGAUCCAGCCAUGCCGCGUGAGUGAUGAAGGCCUU